rnacentral:rRNA from 1 species
GGCGGCAGGCCUAACACAUGCAAGUCGAGCGGUAGAGAGAAGCUUGCUUCUCUUGAGAGCGGCGGACGGGUGAGUAAUGCCUAGGAAUCUGCCUGGUAGUGGGGGAUAACGUUCGGAAACGGACGCUAAUACCGCAUACGUCCUACGGGAGAAAGCAGGGGACCUUCGGGCCUUGCGCUAUCAGAUGAGCCUAGGUCGGAUUAGCUAGUUGGUGAGGUAAUGGCUCACCAAGGCGACGAUCCGUAACUGGUCUGAGAGGAUGAUCAGUCACACUGGAACUGAGACACGGUCCAGACUCCUACGGGAGGCAGCAGUGGGGAAUAUUGGACAAUGGGCGAAAGCCUGAUCCAGCCAUGCCGCGUGUGUGAAGAAGGUCUUCGGAUUGUAAAGCACUUUAAGUUGGGAGGAAGGGUUGUAGAUUAAUACUCUGCAAUUUUGACGUUACCGACAGAAUAAGCACCGGCUAACUCUGUGCCAGCAGCCGCGGUAAUACAGAGGGUGCAAGCGUUAAUCGGAAUUACUGGGCGUAAAGCGCGCGUAGGUGGUUUGUUAAGUUGGAUGUGAAAUCCCCGGGCUCAACCUGGGAACUGCAUUCAAAACUGACUGACUAGAGUAUGGUAGAGGGUGGUGGAAUUUCCUGUGUAGCGGUGAAAUGCGUAGAUAUAGGAAGGAACACCAGUGGCGAAGGCGACCACCUGGACUAAUACUGACACUGAGGUGCGAAAGCGUGGGGAGCAAACAGGGUUAGAUACCCUGGUAGUCC